rnacentral:lncRNA from 1 species
AUGCCCAAGAGGAAGGUCAGCUCCGCCGAAGGCGCCGCCAAGGAAGAGUCCAAGAGGAGAUCGGCGCGGUUGUCAGCUAAACCUCCUGCAAAAGUGGAAGCGAAGCCGAAAAAGGCAGCAGCGAAGGAUAAAUCUUCAGACAAAAAAGCGCAAACAAAAGGGAAAAGGGGAGCAAAGGGAAAACAGGCCGAAGUGGCUAACCAAGAAACUAAAGAAGAUUUACCUGCAGAAAACGGGGAAACGAAAACUGAGGAGAGUCCAGCCUCUGAUGAAGCAGGAGAGAAAGAAGCCAAGUCUGAUUAA